GCAUCGAUGGGACCCCCAUGUAUGCAUUCCUUGGGAAGCAUAGUGGAAGGAGUGAAAAAUCUCUGCUGUCAAGACAUAUGC
rnacentral:snoRNA from 1 species